GUAAAAGCAGCAAAGUCCUGUUGCAGCUUAUAGACCAACAGAUGUAUUGGAGCAUGAGCUUUCAUGCGUGAAUUCCCACUUUGCCAGAUGCAUGGAGU